CCAACGUGGAUAUCUCGGGAGUUCACUCUCCCCGGGCUCUGUCCAAGUGGCGUAGGGGAGCACAGGGCUCUGCCCUAGGAUGUACAGUCCCUUUCCACAACGUUGGAGAUGAAGCUGGGCCUUGAGUCUGCGCCUGCAUAUUCCUACGACUUCUCAGUCCUGUGGACCAUGACUGAGGAGAUAAACCAUGCAGGAAACAAUU
ensembl:snoRNA SNORA73 Small nucleolar RNA SNORA73 family